UGGGGAAUAUUGGACAAUGGGCGAAAGCCUGAUCCAGCCAUGCCGCGUGCGUGAAGAAGGUCUUCGGAUUGUAAAGCACUUUAAGUUGGGAGGAAGGGCAGUAAGCGAAUACCUUGCUGUUUUGACGUUACCGACAGAAUAAGCACCGGCUAACUCUGUGCCAGCAGCCGCGGUAAUACAGAGGGUGCAAGCGUUAAUCGGAAUUACUGGGCGUAAAGCGCGCGUAGGUGGUUCGUUAAGUUGAAUGUGAAAGACCCGGGCUCAACCUGGGAACUGCAUCCAAAACUGGCGGGCUAGAGUAGGGCAGAGGGUGGUGGAAUUUCCUGUGUGGCGGUGAAAUACGUAGAUAUAGGAAGGAACACCAGUGGCGAAGGCGACCACCUGGGCUCAUACUGACACUGAGGUGCGAAAGCGUGGGGAGCAAACAGG
rnacentral:rRNA from 1 species